AUUGAACGCUGGCGGCAUGCUUUACACAUGCAAGUCGAACGGUAACAGGCCUUCGGGUGCUGACGAGUGGCGAACGGGUGAGUAAUGCAUCGGAACGUACCCAGAGGUGGGGGAUAACGCAGCGAAAGCUGUGCUAAUACCGCAUGUGAUCUGAGGAUGAAAGCGGGGGACCGAGCAGCAAUGUUUGGCCUCGCGCCUUUGGAGCGGCCGAUGUCGGAUUAGCUAGUUGGUGGGGUAAAGGCCUACCAAGGCGACGAUCCGUAGCUGGUCUGAGAGGACGACCAGCCACACUGGGACUGAGACACGGCCCAGACGCCUACGGGAGGCAGCAGUGGGGAAUUUUGGACAAUGGGCGCAAGCCUGAUCCAGCAAUGCCGCGUGCGGGAAGAAGGCCUUCGGGUUGUAAACCGCUUUUGGCAGGAACGAAACGGUGUCCGCUAAUACCGGGCGCUAAUGACGGUACCUGCAGAAUAAGCAACGGCUAACUACGUG
rnacentral:rRNA from 1 species